rnacentral:snRNA from 1 species
GAACUUAUCAUGGCAAAAAGCAUACAAUGAACAUGAAUGUAGUUUUCUCAGGGAGAGCAGCAUCCAUUGCACUAUGGGUAGUUCACUGUCAUUUCCCCAAGUGUGGGAAACUUGACUGCAUAAUUUGUGGUAGUAGGCACUGUGCUUG